rnacentral:misc_RNA from 1 species
UUGAAUUUUAAUGAAGAGUUUGGUUGUAGCUGGCCCAUUCAUUUGGGCAUGUGCACACCUUCCUCUUUCAUCCCACACACACCUGUGAACCUGUGAGACAGAGAUGGGGAAUUUACUUGCUGCUUUUUGGAAUACAAAGGCAAUAGGUUAUUGGACCCCCCCUCUGUCUACUCAAUUAAUAUAAACUCAAUUUAUUUUAAAACGAAUGUAAUGGAUGUAACACAUCUCAUACUAA